GACCAGACUCCUACGGGAGGCAGCAGUGAGGAAUAUUGGUCAAUGGGAGAGAUCCUGAACCAGCCAAGCCGCGUGAGGGAAGACGGCCCUAUGGGUUGUAAACCUCUUUUGUCGGAGAACAAAACCCGGGACGUGUCCCGGACUGCGUGUAUCCGAAGAAAAAGCAUCGGCUAACUCCGUGCCAGCAGCCGCGGUAAUACGGAGGAUGCGAGCGUUAUCCGGAUUUAUUGGGUUUAAAGGGUGCGUAGGCGGUCCGGAAAGCCAGCGGUAAAACCCGGGGGCUCACCCCCGGCGAGCCGUUGAAACUGUCGGACUAGAGACGGCGAGAAGUACGCGGAAUGCGCGGUGUAGCGGUGAAAUGCAUAGAUAUCACGCAGAACCCCGAUUGCGAAGGCAGCCUUCCGGCGCCCUACUGACGCUGAGGCACGAAAGUGCGGGGAUCGAACAGGAUUAGAUACCCCAGUA
rnacentral:rRNA from 1 species